CGCUUAUAUGGUCAUCUGAGGUCAAAUCGAUAGUUAAUUAGAUGGCGUCUGGACUAAAAUACACACGAAACGAACCUAUAUAUUAUCUACGCCAUGCUCUGUAAACUGUUUAUUUGAGACUUUUGAUAGUUUGGAUAAAUGUUUUACAUUGUUAUAAAUCAAAUAUGAGAAUUUGAGUCAAAUCGGUGAUCAUGAAUUUGACAGCUAGUGCCCCUUUAA
rnacentral:lncRNA from 1 species